UUCCCACGCCGAGAAUCGAACUCAAGCCUUCUGGGUGAAAUCCAGAUAUCCUAGCCACUAUAACACGUCCUUUGGA